UACCGAGGGUGCAAGCGUUGCUCGGAAUCCUUGGGCGUAAAGGGCAGGUAGGUGGUCUGAUUUGUCUGGAGGUGAAAGCCUUGGGCUUAACCCAAGAAGUGCCCCGGAAACGGUCAGCCUUUGAGUCUUGGAGAGGGUUGCGGAAUUCCCGGUGUAGCGGUGAAAUGCGUAGAUAUCUGGAGGAACACCGGUGGCGAAGGCGGCAUCCUGGACCGGCAUUGACGCUGAGGCGCGAAAGCGUGGGGAGCAAACAGG
rnacentral:rRNA from 1 species